rnacentral:lncRNA from 1 species
GAGGGGGAAUGCAAGGAGCUGGGGGAAGCAGACUGCAGGGAGACAGCGCCUGGAACCCCCUCCCCAGGGACCUGGCCCUGGGCCCCCAGCCCCAAAAGGGGCCCUGCCCUCCCCGGGGUCGCGCUCUCUUCCCCCCCGCCCUGCCCCCGCCCUCCAGCUUUGUGUCCCCAGGAGGGUGGGCUGCAGGAUUUCCAGCCAAGCCUUGGCUGCCUGCUCAGUUUUUCCAAACCCUCCAGUAGGAGAAGGCGGGAGCCUUGUCAGGAUAAGAGUCCCUCCCCCCUCUGCCCCUGCCGGCCCCCUGGUCCAGCUUGGAGUUUCCUGUCCUCGCAGCUUUCGAAACUCCUUUCCCUUUCCCACCCUGGCCCCAGCGCCCCCUAGCCACACCUCUGUUGGUUCCCAAGUUCCAAGUUCAGGUUGGAGGGGCCAGGUGGACUCCACAAUCCUAGCGAGGCGCUGGUAAAGCCUCACUCUGCCGGCCGACCCAGAGACCUGCGGGGUGUCGGCCUGACUCCCGGCCUGGGCCCGCCCUGUCCCAGGACUCGGCCUCUGGCCACCAGGAAGGUGGCUCUUGGGGUCUCCCGCUCCCGGAAGGAGGCGGUGCCGGGGACGUCGGCACAGCUGGGCGGUAAGAUAGAAACUCAUAUUUGCCCAGUUGGAGCUCGGGUUCCAUAUGAAGCUGAAGAUGCUCUUGAACUGAUCCUCUGGCCUUCCCUUCCUGUCAUGAUGAGCCCUUCAUUCAGCGCUUAUACCCCUGCGCCUCAUCUGGACCUCCCGAUCUUGCCCAGUGCCCAGCUCCUGGGCCCAUCCACCCAGAAACAUUCACUGAAGCCCUCCUGUGAACCUGGCCAGCACCUGAGACAGUCAUGCAAGGAACACAGAGACUCGAAGUUAUGAUCUGAGUCCUCAGGAAUCUCAUGCCAGCCAGAUGUACAGACAGGAGGAACGACACAUCUGGGAGUCAGUACUCUGGUGGGUGGCACUGAUGUGACAGGUGACGGGGAACAGAAGACACGGGUUGCUACUGUUCUUUGUGAAGCAGUCAGUGCUCGCUCGGCACUGGUUGAUUUCAUUCGAGGUGAGGGGGCAGUGGGAUAGAAGGAAAAUGGCCUGGGAGAAGAAGCUUUGAGUUCUAGUCCCAGGUCCACAAUUCUAGUUGUGUAACUUGGUAAUUCCUUAUCACACAAGCCUCACUUUUCUCAUUUACCCCUUCCUUGUAAAUUCGUGGUGGUAACCAUUGAGAUAAUAUAAGACAAUGCUUUAAAACA